AAAGGAGAAAAAAUACAAAAAAAAAGAGAGUAAUAGAAAAUCAAGAAAAAACAAAAAAAAAAGGAUAAAAAAUAAAAAGCAAAAGAAGAAAAAGAAAAAAUAGGCAAAAUGAAAAAAAGGUAAUGAAAAAGAAAAGUUGAAAAAAGAAAGAAGAAAGAGAAAACAAAAAAAGGAAAAGAAAAAAUGAAGAAAAAAGAAGAGUAAUAGAAAAUAAACAAAAAAAUAAAAAAUA
rnacentral:lncRNA from 1 species